rnacentral:miRNA from 1 species
GGGUUUUCACAGUGAUUAUCAGA